rnacentral:sRNA from 1 species
CCCGGGAAGUCGCGGCGCCUUCGGAGGUGGCGGAUGCGGUCGUGAGCCGGCGGGGGAGGUGCUGCUGCUGCCUCCACUGUACUCAGACCCAGGUAGCACAGGAUUGUCCAUCCGCCAGCAGCUCAGUGCAACGGUGUGAACUCAGCCUGUUUCAGAGCCUUCCUACCAUGACCUAGGCUACUCUGAAGCAGGUGGCUGAGCCCUGGCCCUGGCCUGAUGCAGGACAGGUUGGCAGGGAGGCAGCAGAGCCAAAUUUUGUACAAAGGAGCUGGUGCUAGCAAGCUCAGGAAGAAGCCACAGCCGGAAGUUCACCUUGCCAGGACCUGGCUCAGCUGCAGACCUCCAAAAAGCUGGUGAACUCGGUGGCUGGCUGUGCUGAUGACGCUCUUGCUGGCCUGGUGGCCUGCAACCCCAACCUGCAGCUCCUGGAGGG